GGCGCUCCGGGCGGCUAUGGCCAGUACGGCGGCUACCCGGGCUCGGGCGACAACUAGCCGCGCCCGCCAGCUCCGGCCCUGUCCAUCAUUGUCUCGAUAUGCCAGGUGUAGCCCAUUCAAUGCGUAAAUUGUCUGCCGGUUGCGUUGUUCGUCGUUCGUCUUGUGUGAUUGCCGCGCCACUUUGUGCUCUGCGCGCCGCCGGAGCCGAGCUGCGCUGGACGACGCCCGCCCGGGCGCCUUGCUCAAGGCAGCGCCGCCGGACUGACCGUGUGUGUGUGUCGUGCACCCCGCCGCUGCCGGUGUCGAGCUGCAUCGGUCACUCGCUCUUUCUCUCUCUCUCUUCUAAUCUGUGCAGCGCGUGCGAUGUGAUGACACGUGUAGUGCUCGACCUGCCAUGGUGUCCGGUGUUCACGGGGCCGCCGCCGGCGCCGGCGCGCGCGAGGGGGGCGAGACGUUCUCGGCGAGGGCUGGACAGCGUGGUUGUCGGGUGCCAAACGCUCGUUUAGAACUUGACGUGAUCUCUCGAUUGUCGUGCCGCUGAAAUUGCCAUGCCGCCUCGUGCACUCGCGUCCGUCGCCUAACUUGUCUCUCCUGUUCGCCGCCUGGGGGGUUGACCGAUGCACGUUAUGACGCCGCAAAUUGACCCAGUCGCAUUGUCCCUCGCGGGAGGGGAGAGACAGAGAGGGGGGGGGGGGGGGGGGAGUCGUCAGCGAACGUCACCCGGAAUCUGGGGUCCACUCCGUCACGCACGUGUGGUGUUUCGUUUCGCCUGUCCCGUCUCGCUAGGGGCGCGGCCGUGAGGACCGAGGAGCUCUGCCACAGGUACGGAACCGACCUCUCCGUAGGAGCAACUGGCCUCAUCCGACUUAGGCAGGCAUUGGGUCGUCGCCAGUCGACUCCAGCGGUCGUAGUGGGAGUAGUGCUGUUCGCGACCUUCGGGACAGGGGUGGGCGGAGUAGACGGGUGUGGCCGGCGGGUGCCCUCUGACCUCGCAGUUCGCUCAGGGAGGCUCCGCUUGUGCGCCGCCAAUGCCUUCGCCUCGUCAGCGCCCUGGUAUCCGCUGUCCGCGGGUGACUGUGCUGCCCCUGGCCCGGUCCUGGCGUGUGACCCGACGUGCGGUGGCCCCGGCUGACCCGCUAACCGACUCGUGGUCUGGUCUGGUCUGUUCGCCUGCUCUCGUUCUCCCCUCGGCCUGAGCGGCGUGGCUCUGUCUGGCUGGCCCGCGGCCGUGCGGAGCGGCGGACGCCUCGCGGCCGGGCGGUUUGGCAGGCGCGCGCCCGGCCGGCCGGCCCUCCCUUCAGGAACCCCGCGCUGCGACACAGGCGCACGCGCCAGGUAAAGCACCCGACCGGACCGUACCCUGUCCCGCCGUAUGCUCCGUACUUUGACGUACCGUGACUGCUACUGACGUGGGGUGAAAAUGACUCGCCUGGCACCUGGCAACCACGCUUCUGGGCAGGGGUGAUUUUGUAAGGCUCUAGGUCGGGUCGUCGCAGGUAUUCAAGUGUCUGUGCGUUUGCGUUGAAUCAGUGUAACAACCACAUAGUCACCUCCAUCCCUGCGCGUUGUGUUUUUGGACUGGUUUAUUUUGUGUCUUUCAUUCUAAAGUUGUUUGCCCUGUUUUGUUGGUGCGGCCUUGUCAAAGUGCGGGAUGGGUCCUGCGUCUGAAAACCGAGAACGGCGUUUCGUAAAUAAAGCUCCCUCAUGAUCGAUGUUGUUUUCAUGGCGGCUCCGGCGCGCGGCCCACCACGUACAUGAUGUGCAUUGCUUCUGGCGAAUACACGUGCUCUGUAGC